rnacentral:rRNA from 1 species
AACGAACGCUGGCGGCAGGCCUAACACAUGCAAGUCGAACGCCCCGCAAGGGGAGUGGCAGACGGGUGAGUAACGCGUGAGAACCUACCUUUCGGUGCGGAAUAACUUCGGGAAACCAAAGCUAAUACCGCAUACGCCCUACGGGGGAAAGAUUUAUCGCCGAUAGAUGGGCCCGCGUCGGAUUAGCUAGUUGGUGAGGUAAUGGCUCACCAAGGCUACGAUCCGUAGCUGGUCUGAGAGGAUGAUCAGCCACACUGGGACUGAGACACGGCCCAGACUCCUACGGGAGGCAGCAGUGGGGAAUAUUGGACAAUGGGCGCAAGCCUGAUCCAGCCAUGCCGCGUGAGUGAAGAAGGCCUUAGGGUUGUAAAGCUCUUUUAGUGGGGACGAUAAUGACGGUACCCACAGAAUAAGCCCCGGCUAACUUCGUGCCAGCAGCCGCGGUAA